rnacentral:rRNA from 1 species
CAGCCGCCGCGGUAAUACGUAGGGUGCGAGCGUUAAUCGGAAUUACUGGGCGUAAAGCGUGCGCAGGCGGUUGUGUAAGACAGGUGUGAAAUCCCCGGGCUUAACCUGGGAACUGCGCUUGUGACUGCACAGCUAGAGUAUGGCAGAGGGGGGUGGAAUUCCACGUGUAGCAGUGAAAUGCGUAGAGAUGUGGAGGAACACCGAUGGCGAAGGCAGCCCCCUGGGCCAAUACUGACGCUCAUGCACGAAAGCGUGGGGAGCAAACAGGAUUAGAUACCCGUGUAGUCCCUGUCUCUUAUAA